rnacentral:piRNA from 1 species
UAAUGUUAGAAUCUGGAUAGGUCUCCUUUU